AAGGAAGUGACAUACGGCCAUGUGUCAUGGCUAUGUUGCCCAAAACGGGCCUUUAUAUAACCGUAUACCCUAAAUUACUUCUCUUUCACUUUGUCUUCUUCCCAAUCUCCCAAAAAAAAACCCUAGCCAUUGCUCCUCACCAUCUCGACGUCGCUGGCUGUCGUUCACCUUCGUCCUCCCACUCCGUCCCCCCAUACCCUUGCCCUUUACUUUUUCCUCCUUCUCUCUCGUCCGCCCCUUUCCCUUUCCCCACUUCAUAGAACCACUGUUCCUUUUUCCCCUUCCCUCCAUCCUUCCCCUCUCUCCCCUCCUUUCACCAUCGACCAACCCCUACCUACAACCCGACCUAGCCUUGUCGCACCCCCACCGCACAAAUACCUCCACGCCCUUCCCCUCUCCUUUCACUUCUCCCUUUUCCCCUUUCAACUGUCCACCACCUUUGCACACCCUUAACUGAACCCCGUCUCCCUUCCCACCAUCCGUCCUCCCUCCCUCUUUCGCACAGUCGCGCGAAUCUUCGAUCAUUGCCAC
rnacentral:lncRNA from 1 species